CCAGACACUCAGAAACACGA
rnacentral:miRNA from 1 species